rnacentral:lncRNA from 1 species
ACGUUUGUACCUUUUCGCCAUCGUAUGUGACGUCACAUUUUUGUAAUUACGUUGACGCCUGGACUGAUUCGGGUGUGUCUAUUCUGUGUUAAACUUUAAUAGCAUUAUGUAUUCGGGUUUAGUUUUCUGUAAUUAGUUAAUACUUCAGUUUCAUUAUGUAUAUCUCUUUCAUAUUCAUUUGUUAAAAUUUACUGUUUGCAAUAGCAUGAAUUGUUCUAUAUAAUAAGGAUGUUCUUAUCCCGGGCAUAAAAACAAUGCCGUAUUUGGCAAAACCUUUUCAACUUUUGAUCUUCAGUGCUGUACAACUUUGUACCUUUUUCACUUUCGAUCUUUUAUAUCUGGGCGUUAUGUAUUCGGGUUUAGUUUUCUGUAAUUAGUUAAUACUUCAGUUUCUUUAUGUAUAUCUCUUUCAUAUUCAUUUGAUAAAAUUUACUGUUUGCAAUAGCAUGAAUUGUUCUAUAUAACAGGAAUGUUCUUAUCCCGGGCAUAAAAACAAUGCCGUAUUUGGCGAAACCUUUUCAACUUUUUAUCUCCAGUGCUGUACAACUUUGUACUUUUUUCACUUUCGAUCUUUUAUAUCUGGGCGUCACUUGUAAGUCCUGUGUGGACAAGGCGCGUUUUUGGCGUAUUGAAUUUUAAACCUGAUGCUUUUUGUUAUCUAUUAAUCAUGUUUUUCUUUGUCUAAUAUGUUCUCCUAUUUAUUUGUAUUGUAGUCCUGUAAUAUUAUGUUGUCAUUUCAAUGUUAUAUUUAACUUUGCCAUUAAAGUGCGAGGUUUGGCAUGCCACAAAACCAGGUUCAACCCACCACUUUUAUUCCCUUUAAAAGUGUCCUGUACCAAGUCAGGAAGAUGGCCAUUGUUAUAUUAUUGUUCGUUUCUGUGUGUGUUGCAUUUUAACGUUGAGUCGUUUGUGUUUUCUCUUAUUUUUGAGAUAUUGAGAUCAGACGUGGCACGGUACUUGUCUAUCCCAAAUUCAUGUAUUUGGUUUUCUUGUUAUAUUUGUUAUUCUCGUGGUGUUUUGUCUGAUGCUUGGUCCGUUUCUGUGUGUGUUACGUUUCGGUGUUAUGUCGUUGUUCUCCUCUUAUAUUUAAUGCGUUUCCCUCGGUUUU